AGCAAAUCCAUGCAGUUUUGUAAGAAAAAUAUCCACAUUCUAAACUAAAUAAACACUACUCUCUCACUUCAUCUAACCAUGAUGCAUGGAAGAAGCCGUUCCGACGGAUGACGCAGAACGUAGGCGCUGCGUGAUUAAGUGACGAUCGCAGAGAGAGAACAAAACAAAACACUGGUCAUAAAUUAGACGUACAAACGAGACUUUGUAAAGAAAAACUUAGGAGGAUUUUAAUAUAAGCUAAGAGGAUACUUGUUUUACCUUUGCUAAAGUAAGGAAACUUUGUUUUGUUUUCUCCUUUAGACAAACUCGCGAGAUUAGCAUUUAUCAAAAGAGUGCGCUGCGCACACGUUCUGCGUCAUCUGAAAAACGUCGGAAGAUUUCGAUAUAAGCCAAGAGGAGACUUGUUUUACCUUUGGUUUGCUCCUGUAAACAAACUUUCGAGCAUUUCUCAAAGGAGCACGCUGCGCAUACGUCCUGCGUCAUCUACCAGAACUCAUUCCGUAUAUGACAGAUACCUAACCGGAAAUGAGAGAAAAGUGUUUAUGAUGUUUUAAAUAUGGAUAUUUUUCUUACAUAAACACAAGGAUUCAUUACAGGAGGCCUAUAUUCACCCCCCGGGAACGUUGUGAGGCACGUUUUGUUAUGGAUGUUGCAUGUUUUAUUAAACGUCUUUUGGACUGUUGAACAGAAACACCCACCCACUAAAAUAAUAAUGCUUGGAAGAACAAGGACCAUUCUUGAUAUAACUCCAACUGGAUUCAUCUGAAAGAAGACACCUACAGUAUACACCUAGGAUGCUUAGAUGCUGUUUGCCUUCCUUCUUAACAUCAGCCGCAUACCACAGUCUUCUGCUAUAAAGAGACUCAAUCUGGAGCGUUACAAACCCACCCACAGACAAGAGUGACUAAUAUAACAUGAGGAGUCAUACGCUGUUGUGCUUAUUAAAGCAUCUCAACCCGGGACAGGGUCAGCAUAUAAUACAGAGUGCAUUUUUUUCUGCUGUACUACAUUAAUGGAAACAUCAACAUACACCAAACAACUGCACAAAGUAAGACAGAACAGAUUUUAUUUCAUGGAGCAUGAAUAAGGAGGCUGUUUCCUUCUCUGAAAUACACAGCCCUUCUAGGAUUGGAAUGGCCCAUGACCCAUCGGGCCAGCAUGCAGCUCAGAGGGGCCAUCCAUCACUGGGCCACGGCUGCAGCCUGGGGAUAGAGUUGCUCUCCCCCAGCUGACUCAUCCAUCAGCACUGGCUCCCCUGCAUACUCAAGCAACCUGGAGAGGCCCAGCAAGGCCAGGCAAUGUCACACUCUUCCAAAACCUGCCAAAUGCCUUUAGAUAAGCACAUUGAAACCAGUGACCAGAGGCAGCUUACUGCUUUACUCCAAUGAGACCUGAAUCUUGGGAAUAUUCAUAUACUCUAUAUUUGCGUGAUCUAUUGCAUGGCAAAAUGGAUGUUGCUGAGAAAUGACCGGGACAAAUCUGCUAGCUAAUAUUUAUAACAUUUAUAUUUAUAACAUAACAUGCACUAUUUAAACAUAAUCCUCACUCAAUUUUGUCUGAUUUAUAAAAGAAAAAAAAUCAAAAAAAAAAAUCUAAACAAUUUGGUAUCACUUUAGGUGAUCACAUUAGGAGUUUACUGAGGCAAAAGUAUUAGUUAAUGGUUGAUUAAUAGUGAGAAUUGGACUGACCAAAAGCGUUCAACCAUGACCAAACAUUUGAAUAAUAUUUUAUAACCAGGGUUUUAAAGUAUAUCAGUGCCAUAACGGUUAUUAAAUAUGUAAUUGUGCGUAUAUAUAUAUAUAUUAGGGGUGUAACGAUACGCGUAUUCGUAUUGAACCGUUCGGUACGACGCUUUCGGUUCGGUACGCGGUACGCAUUAUGUAUACCGAACGGUUCGUUGGAGUAAUUAAUUAUAUUUGAAAAAAAAAAAAAAAAAAGAGAGAGAUAGAAAUAUAAUGAUAUGCGUUCAACAAGGUAGCCCAAUAACCCAAACAACGUAACAGGCAACGCCCCUGACACUCCCGAAGAAGAAAAAAACACCAUCUUAUAUGUUUAUGUUAGGCUACUCAGCAGGCGCUCGCUCACUCAGUACACGCUGAAGGCUCGUUGCAAAAUAGCCAAUGCGUUUAACAGACUAGAAAUGAGAAGAUCCUCCAAUAACCAACAGGUCUGGUGUUUGGGUGCACUUUGGAUUCCCUUUAAGCUAUAAUGGUGAUGGCAAGAGAGUGGUGGAUAAAAAAACAACGGUAUGUCGCAUCUGCAACAUGACAGGGUACACCAGCGGGAAUAAAAAAAAAAAAAAAAAAAAAACACCAGCGGGAAUAUCUGGGAUAUAUGCGUCA